rnacentral:tRNA from 1 species
GUCCCGUUCGUCUAUCGGUUAGGACGUUAGGUUUUCAACCUGAAAAGAGGGGUUCGAUUCCCCUACGGGAUACCA